rnacentral:rRNA from 1 species
UACGUAGGGGGCAAGCGUUGUCCGGAUUUAUUGGGCGUAAAGAGCGUGUAGGCGGCCAGACAGGUCCGUUGUGAAAACUCGAGGCUCAACCUCGAGACGCCGAUGGAAACCGUCUGGCUAGAGUCCGGAAGAGGAGAGUGGAAUUCCUGGUGUAGCGGUGAAAUGCGCAGAUAUCGAGAGGAACACCUGCGGCGAAGGCGGGUUGCUGGGCUGACACUGACGCUGAGGCGCGAAAGCCAGGGGAGCGAACGGG